rnacentral:piRNA from 1 species
UACCCUCCACAAACAAAUUGUCUCUGCU